rnacentral:lncRNA from 1 species
UGUUAUUUGUUGAUCAGCUAAAUUUCUUCGUAAAAUUUUGUUUGAUGUAAGCUGUGAAACUAUUAGAGAGCGGUGUUUAUAUAAUUUUAUAUUUAACACUUUCCUUCACGUCUAGACUCGAGACUUUUUAGUCGGCCCAUGACGUGGGGGCUCGAGACUUUUUAGUCGGUCCCUGACAUAGGCUUGAAUUAAAUGAGAGAAAAUUAAUAUGUUAGGAGCCUGACGUGACUCGAAUUCAGGACCUUCUACUUUGAUACCAUGUGAAACAACCGUUAUACUAUAAAAACUUAAACUGUUAAAAAACGUUGUUUAUAUAAUUUUAUAUUUAACAUAAGCCAAAAUGAGUGUUAUAUAUAUGAUGAAAAUAGUACAAGAACGGUCGGUAAA